rnacentral:lncRNA from 1 species
UAUAUUUAGAAAUAAAAAAUAUUUUAUUAUUGAAAUAAUUAAUGAUAUUAUUAAUACAAAGGACAUUGAUCAAAAAUUGAAAAGUAAUAAGGUUUUAAUCAAUAGAGUAGUAAAAAUAAGGAUGAAAACCUAAUUACUCCUUAAAACUAACAACCCACAUAGCUACUAGCUAUUAAUUAAAAAUAAAUUAACAACCAAACAAAAUUUCGUAAAAAUUGAAAAGAAUAAACAUGCACUUAGCAUUUCGAACUUAGGACCUCUCGUUAAUUUUAAACAACAAAAAUAAUUGAUUCUAAUUAAACUUCUUGAUCAUUUAGCCAAAUUUUAUAUAUUUAUACUCUUAUGAAAAGAAAUUUGUAAAAAUUGAAAAGUAAAUAAGCACACAUGAUAUUUUGAACCCAAGAGCUUCUCAUUAAUUUCAAACAACAAGGCCACCAGUUCUAGUUAAACUUCUUUGUCAUUGGACCAAAUUUUGUAAAUUUAUACUCUUAUAAAAAUAUAUAUAAAUAUACCGCCCUAAUAAUUUUGGUGCCCCCAAUUAUUUUAGGCCCAGGACAGUCGUCCUGCUGGCAUUGGGCCUGGGCCGGCCUUUCCAAGUUCCAAAUAAGGUCCAUGGUGUGUGAAGCCCAUAAAAUGAGGCCCAGGAUAUCAUUAGGAGUUGUAGGCCCUUGAUAUUGUGAUCAAAAUCUCAUGCAAAAUAGUGAUCAACGUUGAUACACUUUUUGUUGGAAGACCAUGUAUUAAGAAGACAUAAUCCACUCCUCUUGGUACAAAAUUAUGGUGACCCUCUAGUUAACAAGCCCAAUCUCCAUUGCUAAUACUAUUCGAAAUAUAAAGGAACCAAUACAAAAAACAUCACCAAGCAUUAUUUAUAGAAUGUCCGGAGGUUCUUCAAACCAAGAACUUGAGUUUUAGGGUGAGAAGGGCAAGAUGGUGGGCAGCACCAUUAUCUUGGCGGUCGUAACAAAAUAUAUUGAAGUGGGUUGUUUGUUGGGUUUUUAGCACAGGAAGGCAUUUCUAAAUCGACGUAGUUUAAGAGCAAAAAAUAUGCAUAUAGACUUGUAUAUAUAAUUCUGUGACCAAGACAUUAUAUGAGUUACAUGGUUGAGUAAGAAUCAACACGAUCAACAUUUAAUCAAUAGUGGUGGAAAAGUGUUGAACUCUGCAUGAUGACGUGGGUUCUAACCCCGUCGGUGAUUAAUCUAACAAAAUCUAUCAUUUGACAAAAAAUAAAUAAAAACAAAAUGCUCUAGUUCACAAAACAAAAAUUUAAUUAAGAUGAAUUAAUUUCAACUCUACUUUACGUAAGAGGUAAAUGUUUGUUAUUUUUUCUAUGGGCUUACAUCCAAUACAAGAUUUUGUUUACAAAAUUUUCCUAACAUGAAUCUAGCCCAAAGCCCAGGUAGUCUAUGAGCUAGUUCUGAAAAACCUAAAAGCAAAAAAGCACUUUAGAUAAGAAUAAGAUUUGACUAAUUUUGUAGCUAAUCCCCUCCACACGCUACAUGUGGCCUAGAUACCAUAUGAAGCAACAACAUAUUUUUGGCUCCCGUCAAACGGUAUCUUAAAGUAGAAUCGGUGAUCUCGAGGAAUCAAUUAGAGUUUAAACUUGAGUUAAGGAUUCCAAACUUUUUAUCGCUUUUCAUUAAACCAACCCUUUGUGAUUCAUACCUCUAAAAGAUAAUAAAUUAUUUUAUAGUGUGAAUUCAGCUGAGUCCAUCUUAAAAUCCCGACUUCUCUAAUUAGUGCUACAAAGUUUCUGCAGAAUUUUGGAUCCUGGAUUGUGUUUGUAUUUGUAGAGCCACUACUCCAACUAAUAAGCAAUAACAUAAAUCACAAACGUGUAGCAAGCAAGCAUGCAUGCAUGUAUGUAUGUAUGUAUUGCUGCUUGGCUUGGCUAUUCUGUUCGGCUUAGCCUGUUAACCAUUAGCCAUCAUGUUAGUGGGAAUUUGGCUUUUUACAUCUGUUAAGAUAAUAAUAUUGUUAUUCACAAACUAAUUUAUUUUCACAACACAUUGUUAAUUUUUGUCUAUUGGGUUUUUUGUCAAAGGAUAGAUUUCGUUAGAUUAGCCACUAACAGGGUUUGAACUCACGUCAUCAUGAAUGACUCAACACAUUUCCACCACUGUGGUAAAUGACCACUUGCCUAUUGGUAUUCUUCAAUUCAUUUCAUUCGAAAAUCGAAAAUUAAGAAAUGUAUGAGAGGUAAAAAUAAAGAUGUGGAUAACAUUGUAUUUAAAUAAUCUACAUUAAACUAUAAGAAAGGAGAUUCGAACAUAAAACUUUAGAUACAAGGAUAAAUGCUUUUAGCAAACAAAGCUACAAGCCACUUGCUGGGAUUGAAAUUGUUAAAUAAAUUGAAUUUUUGUGAAUUUGUUAUGCAAAUGACGGAAUUGAUGAAAAACACCAAAAUUCUCUUAACCCUUCAAAAAAUUGCGAGUGCUAGAUUGAUAAGAUAAGUAGCUUUUUCUUCUCUACCCACUGAAUUUUGAUUUUAAAUUAUUUUCACUCAGCUUAAAUUAAAAAAUCUUUUUAUUUAUUUAUUUAUUUUUAUGAAGGACAAAUGACAAUAUCAUGUAUGCAGUGCGCCCAAUCAGCCGAAGCAAGUUGUUUGUUUGAACCCCAUAACCCAAAUAAGUGCACAAAAAUCUAAAGCAACCUCCAUAGGUCAGAAGAAAUGCUUCUAGGGACAAACAAAUGAAACCACCAAGCACUCAAUAUUCUCGGGAGGCAAGAGUCAAAUAUGGGUUACGUUAUCGAAAUAAAAAGGGAUGUGCUAUCCACACAUCAUUUUUUACUUCUCCUACACCCUUUGUUAAUUUCUAUUAUUUGAUCUUCUUUAAUUCAUCCGAUCCGACGGUCGAAAAUUAAAAGGGUGUGAGAGAAGUAAAAAGGGAUGUGUAGAUAUUACACCCCAAUAAAAAAAAUAGAGAGGGGAAGAGAAGCAACCCACAACAAAACAAGGGAACAAAGGGAAAAAGUUGGGGUGAGUCUUGAGAGUGAAAAAUAACUUACAUUAUGCAGAUAUAUCGUCAUUUACAUCCCAUGUUAAUAAAAAAAGAAUGUGGAUAACAAAAUGUUGACUUUUGUGUAAUACUUGUAAUAUUGGGUUUCCUAGUCUAGCUCUGAUUAGUUGUAACUAGCCGAUGAGCACACUCUGUGUGUGUAAACAAUUUCAUUUUAUUUUUUGUUUUUUUAUUAAGGAGUGUGAUUAGUUUUUAAAAUUUUAAAAUGAGUGAAAAAAUGAUAGUGGGACAAUUUCUCUUAAUAAGUGCACAUUUUAUUUUAAUAUUACAUAAUUACUAUUUUGUCCUCCUUAUGUAAAUAUUGUGUAUCAAAAGUGAGGGUAAAAUAGGAAAAAUAGGGAUAUGAUUGUCAUUUUCUUAAAAGAUACAAAAUUACUAUUUUACCCUCCUUAUGUAAGUAUUGUGUAUCAAAAGUGAGAGCAAAAUAGGAAAAAAGUGGCAAAAAGUUGACAAGGAGGAUUUUCUUAAUAAUAGUAUAGAUUAGUCAUGUAAUUGUGGGAUUAUGUUUGUAAAUCAUGAAUAUAUACCCUCAACGUGAGAUGAAUAACACAUUAUUCAGAGUCAAACAACAUUCUUCUUCUUAGCACCAGAGCUGGGAAGAAAAGAAAAAAAAAAAAAAAAAAAACUAGCAGCCGCUGCAAAACUUCUCUACAACCGCUACAAGCCUACAACCCGCGCCAAUCUCGCGCCUGACGAAGCCCGACGCAACAAACUUGCAACGCUAAUGCCCGUAAAUGUCCCAUUGUGGACAGACCAGACAUUCGAAGAAUCAAUGCUAUGAGAUUGUUGGCUAACCUGAUUAGUGGGAUAAAACCCGAGAUUCUAGGUUCAACAAGUCUCGUGCCUCAAGUGCUGAAAUCAAGGAUGAUUCCGCAGAUAUAGCCGAAAUCGCAUCCACCUUAGCCACCACUGCAGGUAAUGAUGGUAAGCCCGUAAAGGUUUCUACUGACUAGUAUAAGAAGGGUAGUAUGGUCCAAAGGAUUAAAAUCUUGCUGAUGUGGAAAACGGUUAAGAAAGGCAGUUAGUUAGUUAGAGCUGUUAACAUCAAAAGCUUAGGAGAUACGGUAGCUUUGAGCUAUAUAAGUGUGUGAGAACUUUGUAGCAAUUCAUUCGAAGCAAUACACAGAAAAUCUAUUUCCUUUGUUCUCUCUCUACAAUUCUCUUUCUCUCUCUGUCUCUAAGUUUUUCUAGUUUUCUUUGAUUUUCUGUGCACUGUUAUCAGUUUCUGCAUCUAUUUCAAACAGUAAAUGGAUAUCAAAGGGAGAAAGGUAAAGAAUAUGGCUGUGGCAUCGUCAUCUUAUACAUGCCUCGUUUGGGGAUUUGAAAAAUUAUUUCCGAGUUUAUUUUCAGGACUUGAUGUUGCUAAUUUCCAUUGUUAUGUUUGUGAACUAGCUAAAAGCCACCGAGUUUCUUUUUCACCAAGUUUGAAUAAAAGUUCAACUUCGUUUAUUUUGGUUCAUUCUUUUGGGUCCAUUUAAGGAUACUAUCUGUAGUGCCCGUUGGUUGGUUACUUUUAUUGACGAUUGCACUCGGAUGACAUGGGUGUGCCUUAUGAAAUUGAAAAGCGAAGUGAAUUUGUUGUUUGAGAAGUUUCAUAAAAUGGUUUACAUUCAAUAUAAUUCACAUAUAAAGGUAUUCAUAAGUGAUAAUGGUGGUAAAUAUAUGAACUCUAACCUGAAAUUGUACUUGUAUGAACACAGUAUCGUACAUUAGACUACAUGUUCAUAUACUCCAUUACAGAAUGACUGAAAGAAAAAAUGUAUAUAUACCUCAAUGUGCUUUCUAGGUUCUUGGACAAGUUGGACAUGUGUGAUAUUUAUGACGAACUUGAGGGGAAGUGACCUUUGCAUAAUAAUUGUAAUAUUAGGUUUCCUAGUAUAGUCCUGAUUACUUAUAAUUAGUCAUGUAGUUGUGGGAUUAUGUUUGUAAAUCAUGUAUAUAUACCUCAAUGUGAGACAAAUAGCACAUUAGUCAGACUCAAACAACAUUCUUCUUUUAAAAAUGUACAUAUGUCUUUCUUUAAUUGGCAUCAGAUGUCAGCGUGAUGAUGUAUGCGUGUCAUGUAAGUCAUUAAAAAAAGAGUGAUCUCGUCUUAAACUAAAAUGUCUACGGUUCUCCCGAAAUAUUUUCUAUUUCGAGAUUUUAAGCUAUUAGAUGGUGGCCAUGCAUCUUUUACUAAGAAUCUAAUAGCUAAACAAUUCUUCGAAAAAGCUCAAAGUCUAUAACAUCUCAUUGUGCACUAAAAAAAGCUCUAGAGAACACAUUUUUAAGUUUUUAACUAAUGACAUGAAUAAGCAGUAAUACCAAACUAUUUAAGUUUUCAACUAUUUAGAAAGUAUGAAAGGAAAUAAAACCAAAAUGAGAUGUGUUGUAGAAUUAUUAAUCAUGUUAUUCAGCAGUAGAGAGCCUUUGAUACAAUGAUAUAUUUACAAUAAAGUGGAGAAGGAAUAAAUUGAUAUCGGGCACAUCAUUCAUGAAAUGCAAACAUAAGGCCUAUCAUUUACAAGUCAAGAGUUAAGUACUCUUAUAAAUUAGUAAAGUGCAUGAUGUUUCAUCCCAAAAGCAACUUACGUGGAAUGGGUUGAUCCUCAUGAAAUGUGAUCAUUUUCUUCUGGUGCAUUUCGGCACAAAUACCGAAUUCUUUUUGCCAUCUAACAUCAUUCCUUUUUUUUUUUGGGUCAAACUAAAUUACUUCUAUUAAUUAAAAAGGCAAGUACAAGUCACUUAGUACUAUGGUCUAGUGAUAAUCCUAUUCACUUGUAAGUGAGAGGUGUUAGGUUCAAUUCUCGUCAAAGGCGAAUUUGAACCACAGUAUUGUUAACCCAUUAUUAGGUUAAGCUCAUCUCCCUUCCCCUUAAUGAUCACAUAUAAUUAUAUUAUUAAACUGAGACACUUCAUUAGUGAUAAAUCCAUUUCAUAUAAGUCAUUUUCCUUCUUGUUGUACGAAAAAUCCCAACCUAUAUCUCGUUGUAAUCGCCUGACCAAAAUUUCCACGCUUGUCAAUAUGAAAAAAAAAAUGUUAGAGUGAUCAUUGUGGCUAAUGGGUGCAUUUUUUGCGCACCACCCUCAAAUGGUGAUAAUACUCACCACACUACUUAUUAUUAUAGGAUGAGUUUAAAUUUUAAGAUUUGUGUCUAUGACAAGACAAGACAAAUAUUGAAAUUAAAACUCAUCUAAUAGUGAUAAAUAGAAUGUUUAGCAUCACCAUCACUUGAAGGUAGUAAGCAAAAAUAUUGCCGUCGACUGACACUAUGAAUAAGAUACCAAAAAUUGCACUAAUAUAUUUUCUUGUUCAUAAUCUCUUGCAAAUAAUCAGCGAGUCUUUUCUUUUUAAUCUUGAUUUCUUCCCUUUUUUUUUUUUCUUCAAGAUUUCUUACUUUUUAAUUUAGGUAUGUUGCGGUUUUGAUAUGAUACCGUGAGUCCUCUUGGGCCCGCACGGCUCCUCAUUAGGCCAUCUACAACCGAAGGGUCUAGAGGGUCAAAAAUAGCCUGAAAACCGUCUCCAACCAAGGGCUCAGCCAAAGGGUCAAAGGAUCAACCGGCUGGCCUAACUCAACCAGCCAGCCGCAGGCUGGGCCAGAAUUUUUAUUAUUCUUGUUGAUUAUAUCCAGCAGGAAUGGUAGGCUAAAAUUUCAAAUACAAUGGCAAGUUACAGUUGGAUUCAAUUUUUUUUUUGGCCAAAUUUUUUUUUAUGAAUUUAAUUUGUAGUUUUUAAAUUUAAGUUUUAGUUUUAAAUAUAAGUUGUAAUUUUUAAAUUUAAGUUGUUGUAAUUUUAAAUUUAAAUAAUAAAUUAUGUUCAGCCAUAUGACCCUUUGGCACUUAGUUGGAGACGAUUUUUUGUGAUAGGGCUAAAACGCGCCCUAUGGCCCUCGAUUGGAGAUGGAGGCAAAUAUGGUCAUGUAUUGUUUAUUAAAACAUUAAUAUCUUUGAGGGCAAAAGGGCUAAAACGAGCCCUCUGGCCAACCUUCGGUUGGAGAUGGUCUUACUACCCUCUACCCAUUACCAACCAUGUGAUUUACAACCCCAUAGUUUGGCGAUUUUUCUUCUGGUGCAUUUCGGUACAAUUGCCGAAUUCUUUUUGGCGUCUGAUUUCAUUCCUUUUUUUAAUUUUUUUAUUUUUUGCCAAACUAAAUUACUUCUAUUAAUUAAAAAGGCAAGUACAAGUCACUUAGUACUACGGUCUAGUGAUAUGCCUCUUCAAUUGUAAGUGAGAGGUCUUAGGUUCAAUUCUCGCCAAAUACGAAUUUGAACCACAUUAUUGUUAGCCCAUUGUUAGGCUAAGCCCAUCCCCUUCCCCCUUAGUGUAGAUAAUAUUGUUUUUUCACAAACAAAAAAAAGAGGCAAGUACAUAGAAAAGGCAGCCCACUAACUAAGUAUAUGCCCAACAACAAAUAAGAAAAUGCAGUAGAUAGGCCCAAAAGUGGUAGCUGAACAACAACAAAAAAAACCUAAGAAUGGAAUGGAAACCAGCAGCCACCAGAUGCACCUCAAUUGCAAGGCCACACUACCACCAAGAGAACGAAUCAACGAAACAACUGGAUCAACGGAAAAUAGGGGUAAACGAGCCACCCGUGUAGUGAAUGCUCCCAUAAUCCUACCAAAUAAUGCUAAAAGCACUUUAACAGCCACCCAACACCUGAGGAGAAGCACACAGGCGGAUUAGCAUUGAGGACGCGUGAAAUAUAGUAGCAUCGGAAUAAGGGUCCAGAUCUGAGGCCAGCUCAUGGAAAUUGAGACAAAGUUCAAAGAAUAAAGCUUAAGAGAGGCCAAAACAAAUACCAAAAGAGAAAAAAUGCAGAAAUUAAAAAAGUUUUUGAGUGGAAGGAUGGGUGAAGGAUGAAGGAAAGAAGGGGGAAGAAGAAAGAUGCAAAGAGUGGAGAUGGAUGGGAAAGAAGGAAGGAGGGCUAGAAAAGGUGGGAAGGAUGGGAGAAGGAUGAGGGAAAGAUAGGGAAAGAUGGGGAAAGAUGGAAGAUGCAGAGGAUGGAGAAGGAAGAGAAAGAGGGAAUGAAGGCUAGAAAGAGGAGGGAGUCGGGCUGCUGCCAACAUCAACCCGUUUGAUAUCAUUUAGCAGCUCAAAUUCAUCACUGAUUGACUAAGUUACAGAGUAUAAUAUCAGAAAAUUAGAAAUUUGUCUAGGUUGGGAGAAUUAUUGGAAGUUAGUUGGAAAGUCGGCUCCUUCAGAAAAAGACAAAUUAAAACGGGUGAUUCGUCUGAAAGACUAAAAUGCCCUUGUGGAAUCGCUCGAAUCUGUUGCUCUUCGUUGAGGAAGCAAUCGAGCAACUGAUUCUAUCCCCGUAUUGGGUCAAAAGGGCCAGACAUUUUUCACAGAUUCAAUCCCUCCUCCGCGGACCUCGGCGUGGGUGUGUGUGGAGGCGGUGACGCGACUCAUGUUCUAGAGGUUAGUGGUGAACGACGGUGUGCAGGUAUCAGGGAUUGCCUGUGUAAGGUUAGAUAAAAAUUAAAAUUUAUAUACGAGAUUUCAAAAAAGGCGAAUUUUUAUUCAAAUUCUUUCACAGGUAAUCCCUAAUAGUUAGUUGAUUAAUAAUAAAAUAUGAAAAGAGAUGAAUUGUUCAUUACUAAAAUAUUCAUUAUUUUGUGAAAAUAGCGGAUUGUUGAAGAUGCUCAUGUUAAAUUGACUAGCUAUAAUAGCUUUUGGGUGAUUUUGAUGCUAAACUAACAAAAUUUUAGCUAGCAUUGUUGGAGAUACUCUUAGGCUUCAAUCGUUCGUUGGGCUUCCAGUCUUUAAAACAUUUCGUGCCACCACAUUAUGACGUAACUUUGCUACAUGCUUUCUUGGACUUUUGAUUAAAAAUGAUAUUACCAAUCUAAGUUACGCUAUAGAGAUAAGGGGAGGGAGAGAGUUUGACUUCUGGCAAUGGCGGAGUUAGAAAUUAUCGGGGGAAGGGCGAAAUUUAAAAUGUUAAAAGAUCUCAAACAUGUAGACAACCAAAUCUUAAACAUCAAGCUAAUCAUUCUAAUGACCCCGCAUAAGCAUUAGGGGGCUGGCUACCAACUCGAUUAAUCUCUAAACGUUUGAAAAUUAAGAAAUAGUGUCUAGACCUACCUAGUGUCACGGGCCGCAUGUUAAAAACAAAGAAAAUGCCCAAGACAUCAUAUAUCUAAGCCCAUAAAGCCUUGUCUUCAUGGAAGCUUCUGGAACGUCCCGGAGAAAUCAAGAACGUGGCGGAGCAUUCAAGAUAAUCUUAGGGCAUUCCGGAACAUUCCACACAAGUGUACAUAUUUAAGCCUCACCUAGAAUAAUCUAGAUUAGGCAAGUUGUAUCUAGAACUAUGCUAGAUAUUUUUGGAUGUAAGUAGGGGAUUCUAGAACCCUCCAUUGAGGAGGUGACUUAGACCUAUAAAUAGGAGGUAAGGCCAUUUGGCCAAACCAUCCAAGAAUUGUAAGCAAUUGUAAAGUUCUCUUAACUUUCAAUACAAAGCUUCCUUUCUCCCAUCUUCUAAGUGAUUUUAGCAUUCUCCAAGCUAUCUUAGCUUUCUUUGUGAUUCGAUCCGGGGAAGCGAGGCUUCGAAGGCUUACUUAGCUUGUUCAUCGAGGUAUUCAAGUCUAAGUGCCGCACGGGCGGAAGGCUUAAAGAGUCAUCCCGUGACAGCUGGUAUCAGAGCCUAGUUCGUGAAUCACUUGAAGGAAAGUAAGAUAUGUCAAGUGGAGAGAUGGUGUCCGGAGUCUCCGAUCUAAGGGAGCGUGCUGCCGAGGUCCAAGACGUUGCCAAGAGCAAGCCAAAGUUAAAGGACUUGCAAGCAUCGAUGGAGACCAUGGAGGAGCGACUCGAGAAGGUGGAACGAACCAUACUCGAGUUCGAUACUCGACUUGAUGAGGAUGUUGUCGACAAGGAGGAAAUCCAAACCAUGGUGGACAAUGGUAAGGAUGAACUGCGUGGCUUGGUGGAAGGGCUACGAGAUGAGCUCCUUGGCGCUCUCAACACCAUGGCAGACAAGAUGCGGAGGGAAGUCCAGGUUCACCUUGACAACAUAGAGGCAAGGUUUGUGGCGCUUCAAGAAGAGAUAAAGGACACAAGGGAACUUAAGGGAGAUGUGGCGUUUUGUAAAGAAGCAGUCGUGAAGCAAUUCGUGCAAGGGUCGAGGGAAAUCAAGGCGUUGGACUCCAAGGUAAUCGACUCCUUUAAACCCAAAUCCUAUAAUGGGAAGAGGGAAGCAAAGGAGCUCGACACAUUCGUGUGGAACGUGGAGCGAUACUUCAAGUACCUGAAGCUUGAAGAUGACGAGUCCAAAAUCUCAACGGCAACCAUGUUUCUUAGCUGACAAUGCCCUUAUGUGGUGGCGUCGCCGGAGCAUGGAGAUUGAGCAAGGUACGUUCUCUCUCACCACUUGGGAUGAAUUUAAGAAAGAUCUUAUGUUGCACUUCUAUAUCCCCAAAAUGCCAAGUACGAAGCCAAGGAGAAACUAAGGUGGCUCAAGCAAACGGGGAGCGUCAAAGACUAUGUCAACGCCUUCGUGAGCUUGUUAUUCGAGGUGCCCAACAUGUUAGAGGAAGACAAGCUCAUGUACUUCAUGAGUGGACUGCAAAAUUGGGCAAAAACUCGAACUACAAAGGAGACACGUGCAAACAUUGUCUGAUGCCAUUGCCGCUGCCGAAUCCUUGAUUGAGUUUAAAUCAAGCCACCAAGGUGAUUCCAAGUCCACGGGGAAGAAGGGUAACCAUGAGAGAAGUGGGGGAGAACAUAAGCCGAAGGACAAGGCCGAGACAAGCAAACCGAAGGAGAAGAAAGCCGAUAAGCAUGACAAAGGCAAAGGUAAGUCUUGGCAACCCACUUGUUACCUAUGCGACGGCCCUCACAUGAUGCGAGAUUGCCCACAAAAGAAGGCCCUUAAGGCCAUGGCUUUCAAGGAGGACAAGGCCGAAGAGAGUAACGAUGCAACGAUGGGAUGCAUCCGUCUACUGAAUGCCAUCCAGACAACCCUCCCACAACCUAAGGCUCAAGUUGGGGGAGGAUCAUUGUUCGUCGACGUCAAGACUGGUGACAAGACGACGCGUGUGUUGGUGGACACGGGAGCAACACACAACUUCAUGACGUCGGAGGAAGCCACAAGGCUUGGCCUCCGAGUCACAAAGGAGCCUGGUAGCGUGAAGACGGUAAAUUCCGCCGCCACCCCCAUUGUUGGAGUUGCGCGUAAUGUGCACGUAGACAUUGGCACAUGGAAGGGAACGAUCGACUUCACCGUAGUCAAGAUGGACGACUAUGGCGUAGUCAUUGGGUUAGAGUUCAUGGACAAGGUACGAGCCUUUCCCAUUCCCUUCUACAAUAUUUUCUGUAUCCUGGCCGACGGAAGACAACCUUGCCUGGUGCCAUUGGAAAGGCAAGCCAAGAAGUGUACCCAGCACUUGUCGGCAAUUCAAUUUGCCAAGUCUUGGAAGAAAGGCGAGGCCACAUUUCUUGCAACCCUAAUGUUGAAUGAAGGAGAGGAGAAGUACGGGCCUUUGCCGAAACAAGUGGAAGACGUCCUUGUGGAGUUUGCGGACGUGAUGCCUAGGGAACUGCCAAAGAAGUUGCCACCAAGGAGAGAGGUCGACCAUGCGAUUGAGUUGGAGCCUGGUGCUAAGCCUCCCUCCAAAUCACCUUAUAGGAUGUCGCCACCAGAGUUGGAGGAAUUGAGGAAGGAGCUCUUCAAGCUACUUGGCUCGAAAUUAGACUUCUCCACAGCUUUUCAUCCCCAAACUGAUGGACAAACGGAGCGGGUUAAUGCAUUGUUGGAGACUUAUUUACGGCACUAUGUUAGUGCCAAUCAACGAGAUUGGGCUAAGUUACUUGAUGUUGCCCAAUUCUCUUAUAACUUGCAACGUUCGGAGUCGACGGGGAAAGUCCGUUCGAGUUGGCUAUAGGGCAACAACCCUUGACCCCGAACACGGUCGUGACUGGCUACACGGGGAAUAGUCCAGCCGCUUUCAAAACCGCUAAGGAGUGGCAAUUAGCCCACGAACUUGCUCGAGCUCACUUGGAGAAGGCUUCAAAGAAGAUGAAGAAAUGGGCGGAUCGUAAGCGAAGGAAUGUGGAGUUCCAAACCGGCGACCAAGUCUUUGUGAAGCUCAAUGCGUCUCAGCACAAGAGUACUCGUGGCUUGCACAAGAGCUUGUUGCGGAAGUAUGAGGGACCAUUCCCUAUCAUCAAGAAGGUUGGCAAAGCCGCUUAUGUUGUGGAACUCCCACCCCGCCUCAAGUUUCACCCGGUGUUCCAUGUGAGCAACUUGAAGCCUUAUCAUGCAGACAAUGAGGAGCCAAGCCGAGGUGAGUCUCAUCGAGCACCCCCUUUGAUGACAGAGGCAUUUGACAAAGAAGUGGAGAACAUUGAAGCUAAGCGUGUCGUGGUGCGACCAAGACAACCAAAGCAUGUGGAGUACUUUGUCAAAUGGAAGGGGCUACCAUACUCCGAAGCAACAUGGGAGAAGGAGUCGUCCUUAUGGCAAUAUAAGGACUUGAUCGAGACAUUCGAGAGGCAAGAGUCGACGAGGACGUCGACGGCUUAAGUGGGGGAGGAUGUCACGGGCCGCAUGUUAAAAACAAAGAAAAUGCCCAAGACAUCAUAUAUCUAAGCCCAUAAAGCCUUGUCUUCAUGGAAGCUUCUGGAACGUCCCGGAGAAAUCAAGAACGUGGCGGAGCAUUCAAGAUAAUCUUAGGGCAUUCCGGAACAUUCCACACAAGUGUACAUAUUUAAGCCUCACCUAGAAUAAUCUAGAUUAGGCAAGUUGUAUCUAGAACUAUGCUAGAUAUUUUGGAUGUAAGUAGGGGAUUCUAGAACCCUCCAUUGAGGAGGUGACUUAGACCUAUAAAUAGGAGGUAAGGCCAUUUGGCCAAACCAUCCAAGAAUUGUAAGCAAUUGUAAAGUUCUCUUAACUUUCAAUACAAAGCUUCCUUUCUCCCAUCUUCUAAGUGAUUUUAGCAUUCUCCAAGCUAUCUUAGCUUUCUUUGUGAUUCGAUCCGGGGAAGCGAGGCUUCGAAGGCUUACUUAGCUUGUUCAUCGAGGUAUUCAAGUCUAAGUGCCGCACGGGCGGAAGGCUUAAAGAGUCAUCCCGUGACACUAGGCACCCGCUAGUUGGCGACUCUCACGCAGACAUAAAAUAGGUAACUUUUAUUUUGCAUUUUAUCUUUUUCAAUAAAUUGUAGGAGACUUGUUUAAUACUUGGAUGAACACUCAUUAUAUGCUGGUUCCUUAUGUUUUCAAUAUGCUUUGAUACUUUAUAAUCUAUAUCUCAUUCUAUUUUUCAAUUUAUGUAUCCCAAUACAAUUAUGUAAUUUUUUUUAAGUAUAAGUAGACAUUUAUUUAUAUGUUAUAUAAUAAAUUCAAUUAUAAUUAAAAAAAUCGCCUAGGCACCCGUCUUGAAGUUAAGGCUCUAGCCCUCUGCCUACCGCUUGACUAGCACUUAGUGACUUUUAGAACCUUGCAAAUCUAUAAUCGGAUAAUAUCGCAAUCAGGACAUCUCAAACACAAACACAAAUAAUGACAACCCUCAACCAAAAGAACAAAACCAUGAAAAACAUAAAAAAAUUAAAAAAAAAAAAAGACAACAUAAGACAAAUUCAUUACACAGAAAGAAUAGAGGCAAUGUAUGUAAAAUCAAGCGGUGAAUUUUCCUGAACUACUAAAAUGCAGACCCAGCAGCCAUUGACAUAACCAUGGAGCACUUGGGAAGCUGAAAAUUUCAUCACUCCGAGAAGCGGCUUAGCUGGCAGCUCCUCAUACAACCCAUUUUCUCUGAACACAAACUCCCCCUCCACUUCAUUUCUCUUCCCUUCAUCUAAUCUUUACACAUGCAAGCUCCUGAUCAACUCGGCUACACAAAAGAGCAUAAAGAUUCAAUAUUUAGAGAGAAAAUGGAAAAUUAGAAAAGGUGGAUGGUGUGUUUUGAUAAAUUUUCCGUGGUUGAUGGUGUUCUUAAAGGCCAUGAGAGGUCUCAGCAAAUGGGGGUCAAAGUCACAGUCACAAGAAUGAGAAGCGAGAGAAGAGGAUCAUGCUGUUGGGGGUAGAAAAAGUACCAAACGCGGUCGAUUUCUAACGACCGGAGGUUUGAUAGCACUUCCUUGCUCCUUUGUGGCUUUGCCACUGACCCCAGGGCACAGUGGGUUGAGGAGGAAGGUCUUAUCCACUAGAAAAAUCCAUCAUUUGUUGAUUGUAUGAAUAUUUGUAGUAUUAUAAGAUUGUAUCUUUCCUCAUGAUUUUGUAGUAUGGCCAAGUAAUUUUAUUUUGUAUAAAUGAUUCCUUUUGAAAAGUAAGAGUUUUGCCGAAACAAGCAUAAGCUGCAUAACCACAUUUUCUAGAGCAAAUACAUUUUCCUAUGUACUUCAGUUCGAACCAUUAAUCCUCUUAGCAAUUUAAAUUAGUUUGAAGUAUAAAAGGCCACUACUAUUCAUUGAGCUUCUAUACAAACAAAAAAAAAAAAUGUAAGAGGUUUGUUCACACCCUCUUCUUGAAGUCUAGGUACGUACAUCAAAAGGAACAAGCACUAGUAGAAAAAACCAUUUGCGCGAUAGAUCUUUGUGCCACGAAGGAGAGAACGUCAUGCAAGGCUGUUUCGCGCGACGAAAUCAAGGGAUCGUCGAGGAAUUUCGUCGGACUAAAAUUAAAGUACCAAAAAAUUUGUGCGACGAAACAGGGUCAUUGCAUCACAAAGAAUGGACCCCAUCGCACAAAGUUUGGCAGAAAAUUGCAUGUAAGCCUUUAAUUGGCGCCAAACAAAUACGCAAUGAAACAAUUACCACAAAAAUCUUGCGCAAGAAAUCUUCGUCGUGCAAUGAGUAAAUAUUUAUGCCAGACAGUUAGUCAUUUGAGUCAGAGUAAACAUUUACGCUAGACGGUCGGUCUUUUAAGUUAGAGAAUCAAUGCCAAGCUUCCUUUAAAUUUACAGUUUCCCUCUCUUAUUCUUCCCAAUUCAUUUUGGAAACGCCUUAAUUUUUUCUGGAUUAUUAUUCCAAUUGUUGUUUGAAUUUUAGUAUGAUAGCCGACUCUGGUACUCGUUCGUCAAAGAGAACCUUGAUGCCAAUAAAAAAAGGUGCAUCCACGAGAUUUGCACCGGCUAGUUCACUCAGUGGAAGAGUGACCUCCACAAGCAUUAUGAGCGAUAUGACGAUCUAGAGGUCGCUCUAGCAGUUAGGUGGCCUAAGAAGUUGGUGAACUGUCGGGAUGAAUGAAAGUGGAUUUGCGGCUAUUUUCAGGAAGAAAAAUACCUUGUAAGUAACAUACAUUUUAAAAAUAUUUUUAUAAUAUUUUAAUGAUAUUAUAUUUUUCUCAUUAAUUUGUUAUAAAUAUCGAAAUUAAUAUGUUUUUUUAAUUUAACAAAAAAAAGUGAAGGCAAACUUGAUCAAUCGAUUGAAGAAGAAACUUCUUCACCACUCUGGCUUGUGACGCUUCUCUUAUAGGUUGGAGGAGCGACAUCAGGUAAGUGUAUAUUUAUUUUUAGUUUUAAUAUUUUUCAUUGUCCAUUACCCAAUUGAUAACCUAUGUGUUAAUAUUCUUUUAUUCAAGGGGGUUGAAGUUUCCAUAGAUUGACAUGUUUAAGGAGGUAUACGUUCGGCCCGACAAUGAGUUGGCAGAGCAGCUCCAUGUAAGUUAUUUCAACUUUUAAUAUUUAAUUAGUAUUAAUAUUAAUUACAUUUAUAUUAAAAUCAAUUUGUUUGUUUUCUCUAUUCUAGGCCACUAUGAUGGAGAAGAUCUAGAUCGUUUUGCAGGAGGUGGCUUCCCAGCUUCCUCUGGAGACCUCGCUCGAGGAUAUGGUUCAUGCCGAGGAUGCGGGUUUUCAGAUCAUGACGGACACCCUAGACCAGACCCUUGGUCGUAGGUUGAGGAAUGUUCACCUGGGGCUUAGGAAUGCCUGCCAUUGGGACCCGCCUACCUUCUCCUCCAGAUAGAGUAUAAAAGAGGUCGAAUCGUUGACAUUUGAAGUGGUAGGCCUAAAGCAGCAUAUUGCGGUCCAGAGCAGUAUGAUGAACCAAAUUCGUCUCCCCCUUCAGUUCUUUGGCAUUCGGUUCCCCGAUGCAUAACCUGCUCCAACUACGACCUCCUACACCCCCUAACACAGUAGCAACACCACCGGCCGACGAUUGUGACGUGGACGACUAUAUUUUGUAGUUUUCUUAUUAUAUUCGGAUUUUAUAAAUUUUCCUCCCAUUGUAUGAACAUUUUAAUUAAAUAUUCUUCUCUUCAUUUUCUGUUUUUAAUUUCAUUAAAUUAAUUUAAAAUAAAUAAAACUAUAUUAAUUACAAUUACUAAAAAAAAAAAAAAAUUGUGCAACGAAGACACUUCGACGCACAAAAUACAGAGAAAGGAAAAAAUUUUGUCGCGUGAUAGUCAUUGGACAAAAUGCAUAUAAUUAAUCAUUAUUUAAAUUUAUGGAAAUUGAUAAAACAUCCUUUCGUUAAAUUUUGCAAAACGAAAGAGUUCAUUGCGCAAAGUUUAUGGCAACAACGGACUUUCGUCGCACAACGUUCUUAGUGUUGACGGUAUUUUGUCACUGAAUACUUACUGGGACGGAUUCUUUUCGUCAUGCGGUUGCGAUUGCGCAAUGAACUACUAUUCCUCCGUCGUGCACAACCUAACGUCAUGACCUUUGUGCGACAGAGACUACGCGACGACGAUUUCACCGUUCAAAAUUUCUAGCGAUAGAUUUCAGUUUAGCGAGAGGCCUUUUCUUCGUUGCGCUACCUGUUAUUCUUAGUAGUGAAGUGUGUCACCCACUGAAUAAUGUACAUAUAAGACCUACACUUGUAAUUUGUCUCAUUGUCUAAAUACUGAGAAUGUGAAAAUAAAAACAAAAAAAAUCGUCAAGAUUGAAACCUUAAGAUGUUAUGCAGGACCCAACCUUGCCAUUACAUUGGGAAGAGGAUCCUCUUCGGACCCAAUGUCAUCGGAUCUUCCGGAUCCUUCUUCUUUAAAGGCCAAGUUGGCGUCAUGGUUUUCUCGGAGCUGGCGUCGGCCCGGAGUUGGCGUUGUGGCCUCCUAGGAGCUAGUUAUUGGCAACGUCAUAAUAGUCAUCGACGACUUGUGGUUUUGAAGUUUUCCAAUAAACAAACAAAAAAAUGAAGAAGAAGACUCAAAAUUAAAGAAUUAAGGAUUAUUGAAGAAGAAGAAUUGAAGGAGACGAGGAAAAAGAAGAAAAACUGCAGAGAAAAACGACGGAGGAGGAGGAUCCGGAGUGAUUGGGUCCGGAAAGGAUCCUCUCCCAUUACAUUGCAUUAGAUAAUUUGGACAACUUCUGGAAACUGGUCAGGAAAACAUUGCACAAGGCUCAAAAUUACCAUUAAAAUGUUGAGAAUCAACUUAGGAUCAGGCGCCAUAAUAGACCGAGGUGUUGGGUGGAAACGGAUCCUCUCCGGAUCCCUUCCACCAAAUCCACCAAGUCAAAGAUUCCAGGCCCUUUAAAUUUGAUCCAACGACUAAAGUUAUUAUAACUUUUAAAGGGGGUUCCUGUUUUUAGCUGUUGAAUCAAAUUUUAAAGAUCCUGAUUCCUUGACUUGAUGGAUUUGGUGGAAGGGACCGGAGAGGAUCCCUUUCCAUGUCCGAUUAAAAGGGUGCUUUAGAUUUUGGCCCUUAGAACUCAAUAUUUCUAGAUAAAAACCCAUCUAUCUUUAAAGAUCCAUUUUAAGCCCAAAUUUAAAAUUUGCAAACAUAUGGGAACACUAUUGACCUAUUAAUACAAUUUAUUUACACUCAUGCCACUCAUACUUUAUGGUCCUUUUUCCAAAUUCCUAAAUUUAUGCCAAAUUAAUAGUAGAAAAAGUGAAAUAAAAUGUAAAAAGUGUUUGCAUUAACCGUAUCCAUGUCAAACUAGAAAAGUAAUAUUUUUUUUUCGUGAUAUAUUUUGUAACAAUUUUACCUAUAUUAAUUGGUAGGUAAAUUAGUUUGUUCCAAUUAUUUAAAAAAAAUACUACACCUAUAUUAUAUAUUUUGAAUCAAAUAACAUUCCUCUAACUUGUAGGUAAAUUAUUUUCUAUGUAUUGUUAUAUAUGUUAGACAAGUUUUGUUGUUGUAUAAACAUGAAUGGAACAUAAUAUUGUUGAUUUUAUACAUCAAACUGCAUUUCUUUUGUUAUAGGUAAAUUAUUUUCCAUGUACAAGUACUUAUGUUAGGCACGUUUUGUUGUUGGUACAUACAAUAUUUUGAAUCAUUGUAAAGAAAGAUAUUACAUUACACCCAUGGUAUAAUUGUUGUAGGUAAAUUAUUGGAAAUUAAUUUGUAGUUAGGUAAUGAACAUUUUGUGACACACCCCAUCCCGAAGGAGGGCAUGCUGGCCGUCACGUGAGAGUGACGUAACCAUUUGCACAGUACGGAAGCUUUAAGAUACAAUUUAUAAGUUGAUACACCCGAAGGUGAGUCCUAAUUUUGACCAAUCUGUCAGAACACCGUCGAAUUCCUCGUAGUCACCACACCUUUGUGAUUCUUGAACCUGGAGGGCGCAAAACCAAAAUUGAGUGGGUCAGUAAAACAAUUCUUUUCCAAAUCCAAACAUUUCUCAAAACGUUGUAACCCCUCUCCGUAAAACCUGUAUACUUUCCCAGAAAUGUAAAAUAUAAAUAUACAUAUAUAUUCUCAAAACUUCAUUUUUACUAUCUCAACAUUUUUCUUUAUCAAUCAUGCCAUGCCAUGUCUAAUUCAACAGUUAAAUAUGGAUGCAUCAACAAUAAUCAUAUCAGGUGCAAGAAAGUAAUCAACCGGAGGCCCUCUAAUAGCCCUGUACGGUUGAACCUAGAGCUCAAAAUCUAUCACUAUCACUCUACCGGAGUCACCUCUGUGACCCGUCCGGCCUUCUGCACACAAGUUACGCUCUAGUGCUUUCUCAUCAAUCAUCUGUGCACAUAAUCUAAGGUCACCCACCAGUCGGAAUCUCACUAACACUCUCGCGACUGGCCUGUUGUACCCACUCCGCGUGGACUGUACGACUAGCAUCUACUUGGAUCCAAGGCGAGCGUGCGAUGCGGUGAAUACUAUAAGCACUAAACCAUGGUGCAGGAUUUGAGCUCAAUAUAUAUCAACAUCAUCAUAACAGUAAUUAAAUAAUUAAAUACUCACCUGAUACUCACCUGUGCGUGUCGUCCGCCGCACCAUUCAUUCAUAUGCAUCAUAUCUCAAUUCAUACUUUUCAUAUCAUUUCAUGCAUGGCAAUUCGAUUCACAUUUCUAUAUACUUUUCAUAUAUACUUUUAUGCAUGGCAUUUCAACUAAUAUAUCUCAUAUACUUUUUAUACAUUUUCAUUAAAAGCAUAAUUUCAUGCAUUUUCAAUUUCUGGGAAACGGCAAGUAUAUAUGUAUACGGAAAACAAAACUGUCCACUCACUGGACUGGAGUUCGCCCUACAACUCCCUAGCACAAUACGCCAAGGCGUCAUGACGAUCGGCGCCUAAAACAAUAAUUAAUUCCAACCUCAGAAUUCAUAGUGAUAGAAUAUAUAACUUAUAUAAAAUACGUCACUACGUAGUUCGAUCCGGAAGAUCUGCCACUCAGAUUUUAAAUCCAUAACUUCCAGAGGUCCACAAUAUACCUCUAGGACAACUUCCUAAAAUUUCAUUACCAUCCAACGGUCGGAUCUCCGUCAAUUUCCAAAACUAAGUGACGGUUAACAUUUUAUUUUAUGAACUUACAAUUCCAAUUCCGGAAGAUCCGUAACUCGGAUUCCCAAUCCGUAAGUUCCAAUAAUCCUCAAAUAUUACGUAUUACAACGUAUCAAAGUUUGGUAACGAUCCAACGGUCGGAUCGUCAAUUCACAUUUUCACCAAAACUAUAAAACGUUAUUCGAACACCUAACCAACAAUCCUUAAUAACUUUCUCAUACGGUGCUCAAAUUGGGUAUAUGAAUAUACCACGGUGAUCUACUCGACGUCACGGACGUCGACAUAUUUUUAAAAUAAUUUUAUUUAUUUAUUUUUUUUAACUGUAGCACCUUCUUCUUCCUUGGGUCGCCGGACUGGUUUUUCCGGCGGCCGUUUUCCGGGCAGUUUUUCAAAAAUUGUCAUAUAACUUUGUCAUUUCUCAACGAAAUCAAGUGAUUCAAAAACGAAAGUUGUAGCCCUUGAAGAGACAAAGAGAAUGGUACCUUGCACAACACCUAGUUCGCCGUGGUUUGGCCGGAAACUGCCUCGAAAGCCUCGGAGGUCGCCGGAAACUGGGUAUUUUUCAAAUGAGUAUAACUUCUUCAAUACUCAACGAAAUUGAGUGAAACAAAAAGGAAAGUUGUAGUACUUGACGAGACGAAGAGAUUGAUACCUACCUCGACUCCUAACUCGCCGGGGAUUCGCCGGAAAAUGCCUCGAAAGCUCCGGCCAAACUUUGAACUUGUCGAUCUCCGUGUUCUUACGUCCAAAAACUUCCAACGAAGCACUCCGAGCUUCCUUGGAACCUCACUAAGCUCACUGUGAGCUUGGAUUGUCCUAAAACAAAGUCAAUUCGAAGAUCAUGAACAGUGCACUUUCACGGGGAGUUUAGAAUCUAGGUUUUCCGAAGUAAAACUUACCUGAAAUUGGUGUCUACGUGAUCGUGGAGUCUCCAGGAGUUCGAUGGUGGUCUUAACUCCGUCGUUGGUAUAGAUUUAGGGUGGUUUUGGAGCUCGUCUGUGUGAGUUCGAAGGAGAGGGAGAGAGACAGAGAAUGAGAGAUUGUGAGGGAGGAGAGAGAGAGACAGGGUACGGGAAAUAGGGAGGGAUUUGAGGUGUGUGGUCCUACCUAACCCCAAAUCAUAAAAUUCCAUCUCCAAAUAACUUAGAAACAUAUAUUUCACCAAUAUAUGAUUCACAUAUCUUAAUCACGUUUAAGGGAAAUUCCGUCAAUUUACAAUCACGAGUGUAAAACUUUGGGACGGGCUGUGACAAUCUACCCACCUUAUAGAAUUUCGUCCCCGAAAUUCCAGCAACCAACUAAAUCAACCAUACUCCAACAAUAGCUUCGGGUAAAUCUCUCUCAUCCGAUUCUCUUCUCCCACGUAAUUUCUUCCACCGAAUAAUUUCUUCACACAACUUUUACCACUUACACUGUUUUAAUUCUUAGGACUUCCUUUCUCCAAUCCAAAAUCGUCCUUAGUUCCUUAUCAAUCAAAUCCAGUUUAAUUCUCAAUAGUUGCACCAGAAUCUCAUGUGACGAAUCUACCACCUAGUGACAACGUAUCGAACCCAAAAUACAUUAAGUACCUUAGCCAACUCUGAAGACAUCACCACUUGUAUGCAACUUUAUUGAUUCCUUUAGUGAUCAAAAAUGGUCUGAUGUGUCUAAAUCUUAUCUUGUCUCCUUUCCAAUUCUCGCCAUUUCUGCUCGUGGUGAAUUUUCCAAAAUAUCGAAUCAUGAAACACAUCAUGUACUUACAACAACUCUGGAAGCCAUUUAAAUCUGUAUUCAACUUCACCAACCCUUCGAUGAUCACAUAAAAUUCGGUUCACCUAGGAUUUAACUUGCCUUCCUAUCCAGACCGAAUCACACUUUUCCAAGGUGAAAACUUCGAAAAUAUAAAACCAUCUGUCUUAUACACUUGAUUAGUGGCAUAUCCAUCUGUUGAUCUCUUUUGCCAUUCCUGAUUACUUCAGGUUAACUUAAUCACCUGAAUACUUUAAGGAGACUCAUCCAUAGUCUCAGGGUCUACUAAAACUCUUUCUCGAUCGAAUCUUUCUCUACCCAGAAACAUUCCAUUCACAAGUCAUCAAAAACCGACUCACGUGACACAUUUCAUGGUCCUUAUGGCGUUACUUCGGAAACUGCACAACCAACAUACUUAAGAAACUUAGCAGUUCCGUAAUCCAAUUCUCUUUUCCAUAAAACAAAUAAGUAGUGUUGCACUGUCUGGGAAAGGUUGUUACUCAACACUGGAGUAAAUGUACUAACUUGUUACUUAACAAGUAUAACUUCUUCUCGAUCUUCCAUUCUUAAUUUUUCUUCCGUUGGUUUUCAAUCCACAAAAUGAUACUCUUGGCAAACGUGCCAGAUAUUAAUCUUACUGUAGUCUUUCUCACCAAGUGCUUCAGCUAGAACAAAUUUUACGAUCACCCUGAUCGUACAAUCAUGUUCAUUAAGCAAUACAAUUCACUUUCGCUGCCUCUCAUAUCAAAAUCCUUCCAAGUAAUGGAUAUUGAAGACUUUUUGGAUUCGUAAAAAAAAAUCUUGCAUUCCCACUAAAAUAUAAUGUCUCCAUAACUUCACAGCAAGAAUGGUAAUCGUAAUCGUGACUUCCAAAUCACCAGUAGGGUAAUUCAUCUUAUGAGAUUCCAUUUAUCGUGAAACGUAUGCAAUCACCCUAACAUUUGCAUCAACAUGCCUCCAAAUACCAUUCAAGAAACAUCACUAAAAAUUUAUGAUUACCACUAUUCUCUGGGAAUACCAAACCAAAAUACGUGCAUGAGUGAGGAAAUACUUCAGUUAUUGAAUCCUUUGCUCACAAUUUCCUUCCCACUCAUACAUAAUCUCUUUUCUCAACAGUCUCAUCAAUGACAAAUCAAUGACUAAAAAAAUCUUUCACAACCAUCCAAGAUAGCCUGGUAAGCUAAGAAAUUCCAAAUCUCAAUUACGACUCGUGGUUGUUCCAAAUUCUCAAUUUCUGCUAUCUUUUAAGGAUUCACUUGAAUACCUUAAGAGUAUAUAACAAAUCUCAGAAUACCACCUGAUUCAUCCAACAUUCGCAUUUGCUAAACUUUGCAUACAAUCGACAUUCUUCCAAUCUUUGCUUCACCAACUUAAUAUGUUUACAUGCUCUGCUCUGGCUCAGAAUGUACCAGAAUAUCGUCAAUGACAAAUGAUAACAAUUUAUCAUGACAUUCGUGGAAUACUUCAUCCAUAAACUCCUAAAACAACGUGAGUUUUCUUAUAGCAUCACCAAAGCUCAUAAAAGAUCAUAACAAAUCCAGAAUACCAUCUUAUGAUCAAUGUCGCUCAAAAUCUUCAAUUGGUAAUAACCAGACCUCAAUCAAUC